UUUUUGCGACAAUAAUGAAUAUUUAGUGACAAUUAUUUUGUCGCAAGAUAUAUUUUUCACAACAAAAUAUUUUAUUGAAAUUUUUAUUACUAAAGAAUAUUAUAAAAUUUUAGGGAUAAAAUUUGUUUGUCGCUUAUUGUUAUUUUGCAACAUGGUAUAAAAUAUUAUUUUAAAAUUUAUUUCAUAUGAUAUAUUAAUAAUUAAGAUUAGAUAAUACUUUAUAAUAUUCAAACAUAUUUUAUUUUAAUAUCUUACAAUCCACAUAUUUAUUGAAAAUAUAAAUUUUUUAUUUUUAUAAUUAUAUAUUGAUUUAGGUUACACACAUAUGACUCUUAGUUGUUGGAUUACAUAAAAUGAGUUGAAUAAUUUGAUAUAAUAUUUUUGUUUGUGAAAUCCUUUUAUAUAAAUUAGAAUCUACAUUUUAUUACACAUUAAAUAUAUUUUUCAAAUAAUGUUACAUUCAAGGAUUAAAAUGUUGCCAAAUAUAAAAGCUUUCAAUAUUUCGCCAUUUUUUCCAACCCCAAAAUUCGCUCCAAAAUUUUGGAGUUGGGUAUUCGAACCCCAAAUAAAAGUUUAAAUAUUCACCCACCCACCAUCAAGGUAAUUUAACAUUUGUUAUAUAGUAUGAUACCUAUUAAAUAUAAAGACUUAUAAAUAAAAAAAAAUGAAAAAUUUACAUAUGUAUUAAAAAGAAAUAUUUUAAUAAAUAAUUAAUAAUUAUUUUAUAAUUAAAUGAAAAUAUUCCAACAUGAAAAUAAUCAUAAUAAUUUUCUUUACAAAUCUUUUUUUCUAUAUCAUUAAUAUAUUAAUUAAAUAUUAAAAAAAUUAUAUGUAAUCAUCAUUUAUUUUGUAUUAUUAAAUACAAUUGAAUCAAAUGAAU
rnacentral:lncRNA from 1 species